rnacentral:rRNA from 1 species
AAGGGUUCCUGUCCAACGUUAAUCGGGGCAGGGUGAGUCGACCCCUAAGGCGAGGCCGAAAGGCGUAGUCGAUGGGAAACAGGUUAAUAUUCCUGUACUUGGUGUUACUGCGAAGGGGGGACGGAGAAGGCUAUGUUAGCCGGGCGACGGUUGUCCCGGUUUAAGCAUGUAGGCUGGUUGUCCAGGCAAAUCCGGAUAAUCAAGGCUGAGGUGUGAUGACGAGGCACUACGGUGCUGAAGUAACAAAUGCCCUGCUUCCAGGAAAAGCCUCUAAGCAUCAGGUAACAUCAAAUCGUACCCCAAACCGACACAGGUGGUCAGGUAGAGAAUACCAAGGCGCUUGAGAGAACUCGGGUGAAGGAACUAGGCAAAAUGGUGCCGUAACUUCGGGAGAAGGCACGCUGGUGUGUAGGUGAAGUCCCUGCGGAUGGAGCUGAGACCAGUCGAAGAUACCAGCUGGCUGCAACUGUUUAUUAAAAACACAGCACUGUGCAAACACGAAAGUGGACGUAUACGGUGUGACGCCUGCCCGGUGCCGGAAGGUUAAUUGAUGGGGUUAUCCGUAAGGAGAAGCUCUUGAUCGAAGCCCCGGUAAACGGCGGCCGUAACUAUAACGGUCCUAAGGUAGCGAAAUUCCUUGUCGGGUAAGUUCCGACCUGCACGAAUGGCGUAAUGAUGGCCAGGCUGUCUCCACCCGAGACUCAGUGAAAUUGAACUCGCUGUGAAGAUGCAGUGUACCCGCGGCAAGACGGAAAGACCCCGUGAACCUUUACUAUAGCUUGACACUGAACAUUGAGCCUUGAUGUGUAGGAUAGGUGGGAGGCUUUGAAGCGUGGACGCCAGUCUGCGUGGAGCCAACCUUGAAAUACCACCCUUUAAUGUUUGAUGUUCUAACGUUGGCCCCUUACCGGGGUUGCGGACAGUGUCUGGUGGGUAGUUUGACUGGGGCGGUCUCCUCCCAAAGCGUAACGGAGGAGCACGAAGGUUAGCUAAUCCUGGUCGGACAUCAGGAGGUUAGUGCAAUGGCAUAAGCUAGCUUGACUGCGAGCGUGACGGCGCGAGCAGGUGCGAAAGCAGGUCAUAGUGAUCCGGUGGUUCUGAAUGGAAGGGCCAUCGCUCAACGGAUAAAAGGUACUCCGGGGAUAACAGGCUGAUACCGCCCAAGAGUUCAUAUCGACGGCGGUGUUUGGCACCUCGAUGUCGGCUCAUCACAUCCUGGGGCUGAAGUAGGUCCCAAGGGUAUGGCUGUUCGCCAUUUAAAGUGGUACGCGAGCUGGGUUUAGAACGUCGUGAGACAGUUCGGUCCCUAUCUGCCGUGGGCGCUGGAGAAUUGAGGGGGGCUGCUCCUAGUACGAGAGGACCGGAGUGGACGCAUCACUGGUGUUCGGGUUGUCAUGCCAAUGGCACUGCCCGGUAGCUAAAUGCGGAAGAGAUAAGUGCUGAAAGCAUCUAAGCACGAAACUUGCCCCGAGAUGAGUUCUCCCUGAGACUUUAAGUCUCCUGAAGGAACGUUAAAGACGAUGACGUUGAUAGGCCGGGUGUGUAAGCGCAGCGAUGCGUUGAGCUAACCGGUACUAAUGAACCGUGAGGCUUAACCUUACAACGCCGAAG